rnacentral:rRNA from 1 species
UACAGAGGUCUCAAGCGUGUUCGGAUUCAUUGGGCGUAAAGGGUGCGUAGGCGGCGCGGUAAGUCGGGUGUGAAAUCUUGGAGCUUAACUCCGAAACUGCAUUCGAUACUGCCGUGCUUGAGGACUGGAGAGGAGACUGGAAUUUACGGUGUAGCGGUGAAAUGCGUAGAUAUCGUAAGGAAGACCAGUGGCGAAGGCGGGUCUCUGGACAGUUCCUGACGCUGAGGCACGAAGGCCAGGGGGAGCAAACGGG